rnacentral:tRNA from 1 species
CAUUGAAUGGCUGAAAAUAAAGCAUUGGUCUCUUAAACCAUAUCAUAGUAUAUUAUACUUUCAAUGA